rnacentral:lncRNA from 1 species
CGAAGAUGGGCAAGAGAGGCUGGCUUCAGGUGGCAAACUUUAAGCAAAAGAAACACACAAGGGCGUGGAGACCUGGGGAAAAAGCAGCACUGAGAAAUCUACCCUCUGAAACUGACGAGGAUGGGCAACAGAGGCUACCUCAGGUGGCAAUCGUUAAGCAAAAGAAACACACAAGGGCGUGGAGACCUGGGGAAAAAGCAACACGGAGAAAUCCACCCUCUGAAACUGAGGAAGAUGGGCAAGAGAGGCUAGCUCAGGUGGCAAUCGUUAAGCAAAAACAAAACCCAAAGGCGUGGAGACCUGGGGAAAAAGCAACCCUGAAAUAUCUACCCUCUGAAACUGAGGAAGAUGGGCAAGAGAGGCUGGCUUCAGGUGGCAAACUUUAAGCAAAAGAAACACACAAGGGCGUGGAGACCUGGGGAAAAAGCAACACGGAGAAAUCCACCCUCUGAAACUGAGGAAGAUGGGCAAGAGAGGCUAGCUCAGGUGGCAAUCGUUAAGCAAAAGAAACACACAAGGGCGUGGAGACCUGGGGAAAAAGCCACACGGAGAAAUCCACCCUCUGAAACUGAAGAAGAUGGGCAACAGAGGCUAGCUCAGGUGGCAAUCUUUAAGCAAAAAAAAUAAAAUAAAAAAAUACAAUGGCGAGGAGACCCGGUCAAAAAGCAACCCUGAAAAAGGUACCCUCUGAAACUGAGGAAGCAGGGCAACAGUGCCUAGCUCAGGUGGCAAUCUUUAAGCAAAAGAAACACACAAGGGCGUGGAGACCUGGGGAAAAAGCAACACGGAGAAAUCCACCCUCUGAAACUGAGGAAGAUGGGCAAGAGAGGCUGGCUUCAGGUGGCAAUCGUUAAGCAAAAGAAACACACAAGGGCGUGGAGACCUGGGGAAAAAGCAACCCUGAAAUAUCUACCCUCUGAAACUGAGGAAGAUGGGCAAGAGAGGCUGGCUUCAGGUGGCAAACUUUAAGCAAAAGAAACACACAAGGGCGUGGAGACCUGGGGAAAAAGCAACCCUGAUAUAUCUACCCUCUGAAACUGACGAGGAUGGGCAACAGAGGCUGGCUUCAUGUGGCAAACGUUAAGCAAAAGAAACACACAAGGGCGUGGAGACCUGGGGAAAAAGCAACACGGAGAAAUCCACCCUCUGAAACUGAGGAAGAUGGGCAAGAGAGGCUAGCUCAGGUGGCAAUCGUUAAGCAAAAACAAAACCCAAAGGCGUGGAGACCUGGGGAAAAAGCAACCCUGAAAUAUCUACCCUCUGAAACUGAGGAAGAUGGGCAAGAGAGGCUGGCUUCAGGUGGCAAACGUUAAGCAAAAGAAACACACAAGGGCGUGGAGACCUGGGGAAAAAGCCACACGGAGAAAUCCACCCUCUGAAACUGAAGAAGAUGGGCAACAGAGGCUAGCUCAGGUGGCAAUCUUUAAGCAAAAAAAAUAAAAUAAAAAAAUACAAUGGCGAGGAGACCCGGUCAAAAAGCAACCCUGAAAAAGGUGCCCUCUGAAACUGAGGAAGCAGGGCAACAAUGCCUAGCUCAGGUGACAAUCUUUAAGGAAAAGAAACACACAAGGGCGUGGAGACCUGGGGAAAAAGCAACACGGAGAAAUCCACCCUCUGAAAACUGAAGCUGAGGAAGAUGGGCAACAGAGGCUAGCUCAGGUGGCAAUCGUUAAGCAAAAACAAAACCCAAAGGCGUGGAGACCUGGGGAAAAAGCAACCCUGAAAUAUCUACCCUCUGAAACUGAGGAAGAUGGGCAAGAGAGGCUGGCUUCAGGUGGCAAACUUUAAGCAAAAGAAACACACAAGGGCGUGGAGACCUGGGGAAAAGGCAGCACUGAGAAAUCUACCCUCUGAAACUGAAGAGGAUGGGCAACAGAGGCUACCUCAGGUGGCAAUCGUUAAGCAAAAGAAACACACAAGGGCGUGGAGACCUGGGGAAAAAGCAACACGGAGAAAUCCACCCUCUGAAACUGAGGAACAUGGGCAAAAGAAGCUAGCUCAGGUUGCAACCUUUAAGCAGAAAAAAAAAAAAGACGCAAGGGCGUGGAGAGCUGGCGAAAAAGCAACACUGAGAAAUCUACCCUCUGAAACCGAAGAAGAUGGGCAACAGAGGCUAGCUCAGGUGGCAAUCUUUAAGCAAAAAAAAUAAAAUAAAAAAAUACAAUGGCGAGGAGACCCGGUCAAAAAGCAACCCUGAAAAAGGUACCCUCUGAAACUGAGGAAGCAGGGCAACAGUGCCUAGCUCAGGUGACAAUCUUUAAGCAAAAAAAAAAAAAAAAAAAAAAAAA